rnacentral:lncRNA from 1 species
GCUAUACAGAGAAAUCCUGUCUUGAAAAACCAAAAAAAAAAAAAAAAAAAAAAAAAAAAACACCUAAAUCCUAAUUGGUUCAAAAGCCUAAUGCAGUUAUUACCAUUUAGAAUUUUUAACCUUGUUGAAAGCAAUGCCUAAAGCUGGCUUGGUUUAUGGAUGUUACAAGACUUUAGGAUAGAGAGCUAGAUAGAGGUCCAUUCUUGGUCAUUUCAAACAGCUGAUGGAGAAAUGCCCUGGUCCUAAAGAUAUAGAGCAAGUGAGGGUGCAGUUUAAUACUUAGAGUGGGCAGUGUUCAAGGAUGCGCAGAAGUGGUGGUGGUCCUGGGACUGACUGCUGGGAAGAAGAAGGGGGCUGAGCACAUGGAGCUUGCUGGCGGCAACCAUAGAGAUCACAUUACACAGGCUGAAUUUAGUCUCAGUUCUGGUGCUGGGAACAGUGAUCUGGAGUGAUUGUAUGUGGAAGCACUAAUAACUUACAACAGUAUUAAAGUUGAGAUUAACACAAAAAGACUUGACGAGUGUUGGUAUCUCAACUAUGAAAAGGUGGGGCUGCAGUGACCACUCUGGAUAAGAGGUGCAGGGUUCAAUUCCCAGCAAGCACAUGACAGCUCCCUGCAGCUCCAAUUCUGAGGAUCUGUUCCCGUCACACAGACACACACACGCAGGCAGACACAGCGGGUCAGAAGCAGAGUAAGUAGGAAUGCAGCUUGCUGGGCAGUACUGCACGUCAUCAUUGGAGGAUUUCAAAGAUUACUGUUGCUGUGCCUAGCUUUUGCUUUUAUAUUUGAGAAAGAUUUGAUAGGUGGAUUCUACUCUGGUGUGUGAUUGGUUGAGCUGUUUCUAUGGUUAGGCUAAACUGCAUUUGAUUGGUGAAUCGGCAUCUAUUAAAUUUGCAUGGGUUGAAAUUACUGAAAUUUCAACUAUCAAAAUCUUCCCAUACUGUUCCUUUAGAAUUUUAUUUUUCCAUUCCAAUAGCUGCUUAUCAAUUCCUUUUGCAUUUACUAAGAUUCCCAAGAUGAGCUACUUUUGUUUUCUAAUUACUGUUAGUAGGCUCUACUUAACACAUCACUGUACUUGUAAGUCCAGCUUUUUUUUUUUAACCUUACUUUCAAUAAUUGUUUGUCUACUGAAAUUACUAAACAUUUGGGCUGGAACAUUUCUAAAAUUAUUAAUGAGUAAACAUCCAUUGUUGCUAUUAUUUAGUUACAUAAUCACCUGUAAGCAUGAUUUUGAGUAAAAUAUGCACUUUUAUAUAUAUUUUUUUAAUGUCCCCUGCAUUUUUUUUUUAAUGACUUGAGUUUAUUUAGGUUUAUGCUCUGAAAGCCAGGUAUGUCGUUAAGGGUGACUUUGAACUCUAUUCUCUCUGCCCCUGAAGACUAGGAUUACAGGCGAGCUCCAUAUCUGCUUUAUGUGGUGCUUGGAUUAUAUCCAUUGCAUGUGCAUAGUAGGCGAGCUUUCCUCCUUACCCUCCAAGGUAGGGUCUCAGUAGCCCUAGCUGGCCUGGAACUCCCUCUGUAGACCAGGCUGGCCUAGAACUAAGAAAUCCUCGUCUUUGCCUUCCAAGUGCUGGGAUUAAAGGCGUGCGUGCCCACCUCCUGGGGCUUUCCACCACCCCCAACAGGGUCUUUCUAUGUAGUCUGCCUGUUCUUGAACUUGUAGACCAGACUGACCUAAACUCAAGAGAUUUGCCUUUGCCUCUUGAGCACAGGGAUAAGACAUACAUCACCAUGCUGGCCAACUUUGUGAGGCAGGGCUUCACCUAGUUCAGGCAGAUCUCGUCUUGAACGAGCAGUUCUACUGCUCUAGCUUUAUUAAAUAGAUAGUUUGGAUUGCUAGCCUGUGCCACCAGUCCUGGCAUAGUGACCUGUUAGUUUAAAAUGUAUGGAAUGUGUGUUGGAAGUAAAGGCUCACACCUAGGACCAGGGAGGUUAUAGUAGGAGGAUCACUGAGCUUAAAGACCACUCUGGACUACUGUAAAACCAGCCUCAAAAAAAAAAAAAAUCUGUUUAGCAUUUUGUAUUUAAUAUGUUCAGAUCAUGGUUGGCAGUAAAAGGAAACCGUAGGUUAAGAAUUGUGGUGAUGGCCGGGUGUGGUGGCGCACGCCUUUAAUCCCAGCACUGGGGAGGCAGAGGCGAGCGGGUUUCUGAGUUCGAGGACAGCCAGGACUACACAGAGAAACCCUGUCUCGAGAAUUGUGGCGAUGACUUUACAACU